rnacentral:rRNA from 1 species
GAGUUUGAUUCUGGCUCAGGAUGAACGCACAAGACGUGCCUAACACAUGCAAAUCGAAUGAAAAGAAUUAAUUAUUGUUUUCAUGGUGAACGGGUGAGUAACACAUAAGAAUCAGCUUUUAGAUAAGGCAUAAAAGAGUAAUAUCUUGGUAAUUCCUUAUAUGCGCAGCAGUGCUUAAAAAGGGGAGUCCCGUCUAAAAACGAGCUUAUGCCUGAUUAGCUAGUUGGCGAGUUAAAAGCUCACCAAGGCGAAGAUCAGUAGCUGGCCUGAGAGGGCGGCCAGCCACAUUGGGACUGAGACACGGCCCAAACUCCUACGGGAGGCAGCAGUGGGGAAUCUUCUGCAAUGGGCGCAAGCCUGACAGAGCGGCGUCGUGUGAAGGAAGAAGGCCUGAAAUAGGUUGUAAACUUCUUUUACUGAGUAAUGAAUAAUGACAACGCAGUAAAAAAGUAUCGGCUAACUCCGUGCCAGCAGCCGCGGUAAUACGGGGGAUGCAAGCGUUAUCCGGAAUCACUGGGCGUAAAGCGUCUGUAGGUGGUUUAGUGUGUUCUUAGUUAAAUUAUGAAGCCUAACUUCAUGAAAAGUAAGAAAACUAUUAGACUUGAGUACGAUAGGGGUAAGAGGAAUUCUUCGAGAAGUAGUGAAAUGCGAAGAUACGAAGGAGAAGAUCAUAAGCGAAGGCUUCUUACUGGGUCGUAACUGACACUGAGAGACGAAAGCUAGGGGAGCGAAUGGGAUUAGAUACCCCAGUAGUCCUAGCUGUAAACGAUGGAUAUUCGGUGCCGGAAAUUUUAUUAGAACAUUUCGGUACCCUAGCUAACGCGUUAAAUAUCCCGCCUGAGGAGUACGCUCGCAAGGGUGAAACUCAAAGGAAUUGACGGGGGCUCGCACAAGCGGUGGAGCAUGUGGUUUAAUUCGAUGCAAAGCGAAGAACCUUACCAGGGCUUGACAGUAUGUAU